CUCGCUCUUGCCGUCACGGGUUGCUCGUCGUCGAACCUCAUCGCUGCCAGCGCAAGCCACCACAGCUCUCCGCCCUAGCUUGCCCACGCCUGUGCGAGCAACCGUAGCUCCCCGAAGGUUCUCACCCACGCUGAUACCCGAGCGAGCCACUGCGACUCGCCGCCGGUUCUCGUCCACGUCUGCAGGCGCCGGCGUAGUUCUUCCUUGCCUCACGGAUGCCUGCGCUAGAUACCGCAGCUCGCUGCGGGUUCUCCCCCACGCCUGCGCGCGAUAGCGCAGCUCUCUGCAGGUCCUGAACAAGUGGCGUGACGGCAGCAGCGGCCGGAGGAAGAGAUGGGUGCGUGUGUAGAUCCUGAAGAUGUUGAAUGCAAGCAACAUAGAGAACUGUCCAACACUACUCUCUUGUCAAUUUUUGCAUGUCCAGCCUUCUCGGAAGAUGGCAUUAGGCAGUUUACUUUCUGAUGGAGACCACUUCUGAUGCUACCUAGAUUGGCCGAUCUACUUUUUUCAUCAGCGACACUACUAUCCAUUUCAUGAGGAAGCACUCGGCAUAUCUGUUGUAGGAUCACAAUGUUCAGCCUGGCUUCUAUCUUGUAUCUGGUACUUCUUUUUCUUUUUUCUCCAGCAGGUUGCUUGGGUGGGCAGUUUAUAACAGCUAAUGGUCAUAGGUUGCUCCAACAAGCAAUUGUCAGAGACAAAAACAAAAGGUUGCUCCACCAAGCAACUGUGUUAACAGCAUAUAUUAUUCUAUACAAGAUACAAAGUGUGUCCUGGUUUUCAUCGCAUCACGACUUCUUUUGUCUCUUUUCUUGGCAAGAUUGUGGUGACUAUAUAUAUGAUGUGUA